GAUGAACGCUGGCGGCGUGCCUAAUACAUGCAAGUCGAGCGAACGGACGAGAAGCUUGCUUCUCUGAUGUUAGCGGCGGACGGGUGAGUAACAUGUGGAUAACCUACCUAUAAGACUGGGAUAACUUCGGGAAACCGGAGCUAAUACCGGAUAAUAGUUUGAACCGCAUGGUUCAAAAGUGAAAGACGGUCUUGCUGUCACUUAUAGAUGGAUCCGCGCUGCAUUAGCUAGUUGGUAAGGUAACGGCUUACCAAGGCAACGAUGCAUAGCCGACCUGAGAGGGUGAUCGGCCACACUGGAACUGGAACACGGUCCAGGCUCCUACGGGAGGCAGCAGUAGGGAAUCUUCCGCAAUGGGCGAAAGCCUGACGGAGCAACGCCGCGUGGGUGAUGGAGGUCUUCGGAUCGUAAAACUCUGUUAUUAGGGAAAAACAUAUGUGUAAGUAACUGUUCACAUCUUGACGGUACCUAAUCAGAAAGCCACGGCUAACUACGUG
rnacentral:rRNA from 1 species